UACGGAGGGUGCAAGCGUUGUUCGGAAUUAUUGGGCGUAAAGGGCAAGUAGGUGGUCUUGUAAGUCUACUGUGAAAUCCCCGAGCUUAACUUGGGAAGUGCGGUGGAUACUGCAAGACUAGAGUGCUGGAUGGGUGCGUGGAAUUCCCGGUGUAGUGGUGAUAUGCGUAGAUAUCUGGAGGAACACCGGUGGCGAAGGCGGCAUCCUGGACCAACACUGACACUGAGGAGCGAAAGCCAGGGGAGCAAACGGG
rnacentral:rRNA from 1 species